UAGCAUAAUCAUUAGUUUUUUAAUUGAGAACUGGAAUGAAAGGUUAAAUAAAAAAUAAUCUUUAUUAAUUUUAUAAUUUUUGAAUUUGUUUUUUUAGUAAAAAAACUAAGAUAUUAUAAAAAGACGAUAAGACCCUAUAAAGCUUUAUAAUAUAAAAAUUUAAUAAUUAAUUAGAAUAUAAAAAUUAAUUUUUUUUUAUUAUUUAAUUGGGGUGAUUAAAAGAUUUAUAAAACUCUUUUUUAUAAAAAAUUUUUCAUUUAUAAAUGUUUUAUGAUCCUUAAAAUUUUAAGAAUAAAAAAAUAAGUUACUUUAGGGAUAACAGCGUAAUUUUUUUGAAGAGUUCUAAUCGAUAAAAAAGAUUGCGACCUCGAUGUUGAAUUAAGAUAAAAAUUAGGUGUAGAA
rnacentral:rRNA from 1 species